rnacentral:rRNA from 1 species
UACAGAGACUGCAAGCGUUAUUCGGAUUCACUGGGCGUAAAGGGUGCGCAGGCGGCCGUAUGUGUGAGGCGUGAAAGCCCGGGGCUUAACCCCGGAAUUGCACCUCAAACUAUACGGCUAGAGCAUUGGAGAGGGUAGCAGAAUUCAUGGUGUAGCAGUGAAAUGCGUAGAUAUCAUGAGGAAUACCAGAGGCGAAGGCGGCUACCUGGACAAGUUGCUGACGCUC